rnacentral:rRNA from 1 species
AUGGCUCCAUGCUCGGAUCUGAAGCUGGAGAGGCUUGAGGAGCAUUUCUUCUUGGGAAACUGCCUUCGGCUGCUGUGCCUGAAGGUCUCAAAUCUUGCUUUUUGGACUAGGUGGAUAUUGUGGCUCACCAAAGCUUCAAUGCGAGGGGCUUCUCCAGUUUCGAGAUUUGAGGUCGCCGGCAUUCUACUCCUCCUCUGCUGGAGUAGCAGGUGGUGGACGUCGUCAACGUGCGGUGAUAUCCAUGAUGGAGAAGAAGACCUACGAUUUCUUUGCUUUCUUUUCUUAUUUUGGUCUUCUUUGCAAGCUGGCAGAGGCAGUUACUUCAUCUGUAUACCUUUAGUUUAUUUGUAUUUGUAA